rnacentral:antisense_RNA from 1 species
CUUUAUGGUUGACAGUGGCAGGGAGGCGUUAUGCCUACCGGUUCUCUUUGUCGGUCUGUCAACCCUGCCACAUGUCUGCCGCCAAU